UACGUAGGGGGCAAGCGUUGUCCGGAAUCAUUGGGCGUAAAGAGCGCGUAGGCGGCCCGGAAAGUGGGGUGUGAAACCCGAGGCUCAACCUCGGGCGUGCACUCCAAACUCCCGGGCUUGAGGCAGGUAGGGGAGAUCGGAAUUCCUGGUGUAGCGGUGAAAUGCGCAGAUAUCAGGAGGAACACCGGUGGCGAAGGCGGAUCUCUGGGCCUGUUCUGACGCUGAGGCGCGAAAGCUAGGGGAGCAAACAGG
rnacentral:rRNA from 1 species